rnacentral:tRNA from 1 species
AAGUUUAAGUUAAUUAAACCCAGGACCUUCAAAGUCCUAAAUAGGGUCCACACCCUAACUUCUG